rnacentral:lncRNA from 13 species
GGCAGGCAAGGCAAAAGAAAGAAGAAGGCAAAGGCAGGCAAGGCAAAAGAAGAAAAGAAGGAAGGAAGGCAAGGGAAAAGAAGAAAAGAAGAAAGGAAGGCAAGGCAAAAGAAAAGAAGAAAGGCAAGGCAAGGUAAAAGAAGGCAAGGCAAAAGAAGGCAAGGUAAAAGAAGACAAGGCAAAGAAGGCAAGGCAAAAGAAGGAAGGCAAGGCAAAAGAAGGAAGGCAAGGCAAAACAAGGCAAGGCAGGCCAAUUUCAGGCAAGGUAAUUCGAGGUAAGAAAAGGCAAGGCAAAGCAGGGUAAUUCCAGGCAAGGUCAUUCGAGACAAGGCAAGGCAGGGAAAUUCCAAGCAAGGAAAUUCGAGGGAAGGCAAGGCAAGGCAUAAAAAGGGCAAUUCCAGCCAAGGCGUUUUCAGACAAGGCAAGGCAAGGCAAGACAAGGCAAGGCAAUUUCAGUCAAGGCAAUUCCAGGAAAGACAAGGAAAAACAAUUCCAGGCAAGGCAAAGUAAGCCAAG